rnacentral:rRNA from 1 species
GUGGGGAAUUUUGGACAAUGGGGGCAACCCUGAUCCAGCCAUCCCGCGUGUGCGAUGAAGGCCUUCGGGUUGUAAAGCACUUUUGGCAGGGAAGAAACAGCCUGGGCUAAUAUCCCGGGCGACUGACGGUACCUGCAGAAUAAGCACCGGCUAACUACGUGCCAGCAGCCGCGGUAAUACGUAGGGUGCAAGCGUUAAUCGGAAUUACUGGGCGUAAAGCGUGCGCAGGCGGUUCGGAAAGAAAGGUGUGAAAUCCCAGGGCUUAACCUUGGAACUGCACUUUUAACUACCGGGCUAGAGUACGUCAGAGGGCGGUAGAAUUCCACGUGUAGCAGUGAAAUGCGUAGAGAUGUGGAGGAAUACCGAUGGCGAAGGCAGCCCCCUGGGAUGAUACUGACGCUCAUGCACGAAAGCGUGGGGAGCAAACA